CUUGACAAUGCUGGGAAUAAGUAUGAGUAAAAAUUAACAGGACAGCAUUUGUGUACUAUGGGAGUGACAGAGAAGUAAAGAAGCAAAAAAGUCCAACUGUAAGGUGUAUGGGAUGCCUUCUAAAGCAGGCAGAGCACAUGACGCUUUUCAACACUCUUUUCGAUACUGAUUUGGCAUUCAGGGUCUAUCAAAGGAGAAAUCUUUCACAUGCAAUUAUGACAGAAAAUAAAGGUGAUGAAGUGUUGUAUACAAAGAAUGGAGAGAGAUCAAAGGACUGUAAUGAAAACUGAUUACAAUAAAAGAGCUGCUUCAACCCUGAGAACUCUACAGAACUGCUUGGGGCAUGACAACACACACACUUGCAUGCACAAAGAAGUUGCAGAUAAAAUCACAGGCACUAAUUCAUAGGAAUAAAUGAAGAAAACAAUACAUAGCUAUUUGCUUGGAUGUUUUUUAACAUUAAGGCACUAAAAUGACAUGAAGACAUGGGUCUAAUUUGGAAGAUUUUGAUUUCAUACUUCUGUAAAGGCUUCUUUAUUCAACUAUUGGACAUAAUGUGAAAGUUUUUUAAAUUUAUAACUUCUCUUCUGAUAAGAUUGCUUAUAGGAUAGAGGAAUGUUUUCAAUUCUUCUAUUGUUUUCUUGAAUAAUCUCCUCAGGGUCACAUACAGAAUAAGUCACUUAUCUAAGUUUAAAUAUUAGCAAGGAGACUGUUUAGUACUGUUAGUUGCAUAGCGAUGAAGAAAUUGAUCAAGUUUAACCCUCUAUCCUUUUGACUCCUGUUCUGAUUUGGACUAUUCAAAUGAAUUUUCAUUCACUUUGAAGUUUCUUUCCCAGAUUCCACAGUUGAGUACUGCAACCAUUUAUUGGGCAGUUUCAG
ensembl:lncRNA